rnacentral:rRNA from 1 species
UACAGAGGUCUCAAGCGUUGUUCGGAUUCAUUGGGCGUAAAGGGUGCGUAGGCGGCGGGGUAAGUCUGGUGUGAAAUCUAGGAGCUCAACUCCUAAACUGCACUGGAUACUGCUCUGCUAGAGGACUGGAGAGGAGACUGGAAUUCACGGUGUAGCAGUGAAAUGCGUAGAUAUCCGGAGGAAUACCAAAGGCGAAGGCAGUGUCCUGGGGAGUGUCUGACGCUCAGGCGCGAAAGCUAGGGGAGCGAACAGG